AGAGUUUGAUCCUGGCUCAGGACGAACGCUGGCGGCGUGCCUAACACAUGCAAGUCGAACGGAAAACUUACGAGAAUUUCGGUUCAUGUAAGUUUUUAGUGGCGGACGGGUGAGUAACGCGUGAGAAUCUGCCUUCAAGUGGGGAAUAACAGUUGGAAACGACUGCUAAUACCGCAUAAUAUGGGAAACCAUCAAAGGAGCUGCAAGGCUUCGCUUGAAGAUGAGCUCGCGUCUGAUUAGCUAGUUGGUGAGGUAAUGGCUUACCAAGGCGACGAUCAGUAGCCGGCCUGAGAGGGUGAACGGCCACAUUGGAACUGAGAAACGGUCCAAACUCCUACGGGAGGCAGCAGUGGGGAAUAUUGCGCAAUGGGGGGAACCCUGACGCAGCGACGCCGCGUGAGCGAAGAAGGCCUUCGGGUUGUAAAGCUCUGUUUUAAGGGAAGAACAACGCAUAUAGGAAAUGAUAUGUGUCUGACGGUACCUUAAGAGGGAGCCCCGGCUAACUACGUGCCAGCAGCCGCGGUAAGACGUAGGGGGCGAGCGUUGUCCGGAAUUACUGGGGCGUAAAGAGCACGUAGGCGGAAAAUUAAGUCCCAUUGUGAAAGACCGGGGCUCAACUUCGGAAUUGCAGUGGAAACUGAAUUUCUUGAGGGCAGGAGAGGAAAGCGGAAUUCCUGGUGUAGCGGUGAAUGCGUAGAAAUCAGGAGGAACACCGGUGGCGAAGGCGCUUUCUGGACUGACCCUGACGCUGAAGUGCGAAAGCGUGGGUAGCAAACAGGAUUAGAUUACCCUGGUAGUCC
rnacentral:rRNA from 1 species